CGUCAUUGUCUCUGCUCCAGUCUUGUGUUGUUUGUUUACUACUACUAAUUACUACUUAGUACUACUAAGUACUAACAGCUCUUUUUGGGAGUGUUUUUAUUUCAUCAGGAGUCUCUGAGGGUCUCCUUCACUUGCCUGUUUGAUGAAUUUUCCACAUUGGUGCUUGCUCAGUGGGUAGAUGGAGUAAUGAAUGUAUGGGUACAAGGACUGCUGCUGUUAUCUGUCCAGCCAUCUGGAAUACCUCUGAGCCUUGAGUUCCAGACAACAUAGACAUCGCGCUCCUAAACAUUACGAUAAUGCCUUUAGAAAUCCAAAACCCUUGACAAUGAUAUCAGUAGGCUCAUUAUGUUGCAAGACUACUGAUUUUUGAUGCUGGUCAGACAGGACCUCAGUGAUGAUAGAAAAUUUAAGGAGGAGAAUGUAAGCCAUUAGCAAUAGAUAAACAUUUAGCUAGCAACAGUUUCUAUUUAGCCAGUAUGCCCAUGUACAGUUAAGCAUCGGGAAGGUCUGUGAACCUGAAAUACUCAGGCAAUGAGGAAUCAGGGGAAAAGGUGAGCAUCAAGGUAAUAGGGCAUGUUCUUUGCUUUGUAAUAGGGUUUUGUUUGCUUUUCAUUAAGUAUCAUUUCUUACCAUUACGCAGCGUUUGUCUUGUCUUGUUUUUCAUGUUGCCAAUCAACAUUUAGUUGGAGCUUGGGUGACCCGAAUGCAUACAACUAAGUGUUGACCAAGUGUGAUGUGAAAUGAAGAGGGUUGGAGACUCCACUAUCAGAUGGCAUUGGCCUUUCAAGCCUCCCCGGGUUGUAGCGCUGGUUGUGCCCUGAUCCUUGGAAAGGGGAACUGAUUCCUUCAUCAUUACCUGAUGGUGACGUCUACUUAUCUUGUGUCCAGUGAGCGGUGGUGGAAAAACUGCGGCUCUCCCGAGUGGUGCAAGGACUCUACUGAGGCUCAUUGUGUUUAUAGUAGAAAACUACAGCCAUAGAUGGAUGCCAAUAUCCACUCCUUACUCUGUCUGGCAAGCUGUGUUGAUCUCUGAAGUUGCUCCCACACUUGUAGAAGUUCUUUGGGCUCAGCAUCAGUUGUCUCUUGCACUCACAUGGCUUUCACCAGUUGGAGCUACAGUGAGCCCAAAUGGUGACUGCUCUGCUUUGACCAAGUGAGAUGCAAAAAGAAGAGGUAGGUUGCAAAACAGGCUUCUAGUGCGUGCCAUGUAAGACUUGGGGUAUCCAGAGUUAACUUCUUGUCUUUCUCCUUUUCCAGUUCCUUUUCCAGUUCCCUUUGAUUUUUCCCCCCUUUUUAUAAUUUUCAUU